rnacentral:rRNA from 1 species
UACGUAGGGUGCAAGCGUUGUCCGGAAUUAUUGGGCGUAAAGAGCUCGUAGGCGGUUUGUCACGUCUGCUGUGAAAACUCGGGGCUUAACUCCGGGCCUGCAGUGGGUACGGGCAGACUAGAGUGCGGUAGGGGAGACUGGAAUUCCUGGUGUAGCGGUGAAAUGCGCAGAUAUCAGGAAGAACACCUAUGGCGAAGGCAGCACUCUGGGACGGUACUGACGCUGAGACGCGAAAGCGUGGGGAGCGAACAGG